AGGAAAUACAGACAACCAACACCUCCAUGAAGAUUCUUGCAUGGCAGAUUGUGCAAGAGCCUCUUACCUGGACAAUAGCAGCGAUUUUCACGCCAAUGGGUGUUACUCGUUAAAUAGAUGCCAUCCUCCAGGAACACAGACAGAAGAUGCAACAGUUCAGAAUGAAGAAAACUAUCCACACAAGACUCAGAGGAAAGCUGGAUGACAAGCCCCUGAAAAGCUGUAAUGGUAGGUGUGACCUGAGGAAGUGCCGGGAUCGGCACGAAAUAGCUAUCGUCCCACACGCUCGCUCCUGGCGCCCCACCAGAACAUGUGUUCAGCCGCUACCUGAAUAAAGAAGCCUGCUCUGACCGAAG